rnacentral:rRNA from 1 species
UUUAAACACUUUUUAAAGUAUCAAUUGGAGGGCAAGUCUGGUGCCAGCAGCCGCGGUAAUUCCAGCUCCAAUAGCGUAUAUUAAAAUUGUUGCAGUUAAAAAGCUCGUAGUUGAAUUUCUGUUAAAAAUAACCGGUCUGCUUUUUUUAUUAAAAGUUGUAUCAUUUUGGUGUGUUUUUAACAAUAAUAAUGUCCUUUGAAAAUGUUUUUUACUUUAUUGUAAUAAGUCAUUGUUUUGAGGAUUUUUACUUUGAGAAAAUUAGAGUGUUUUUAGCAGGCUUUUACGCUUUUGAAUACUGCAGCAUGGAAUAAUAAGAUAGGAUUUUAGUUCUACAUUAUUGGUUUUAAGAACUAAAUUAAUGAUUGAUAGGGAUAGUUGGGGGCAUUUGUAUUUAACUGUCAGAGGUGAAAUUCUUAGAUUUGUUAAAGACAAACUAUUGCGAAAGCAUUUGCCAAAGAUGUUUUCAUUAAUC